rnacentral:rRNA from 1 species
GUCCUACGGGACGCAGCAGUGAAGGAUAUUGGUCAAUGGGGGAAACCCUGAACCAGCAACGCCGCGUGAGGGAAGACGGUUUUCGGAUUGUAAACCUCUGUCCUCUGUGAAGAUAAUGACGGUAGCAGAGGAGGAAGCUCCGGCUAACUACGUGCCAGCAGCCGCGGUAAUACGUAGGGAGCGAGCGUUGUCCGGAUUUAUUGGGCGUAAAGCGAGUGCAGGCGGUUCCA